rnacentral:rRNA from 1 species
GAUGAACGCUGGCGGCGUGCCUAAUACAUGCAAGUCGAGCGAACGGACGAGAAGCUUGCUUCUCUGAUGUUAGCGGCGGACGGGUGAGUAACACGUGGAUAACCUACCUAUAAGACUGGGAUAACUUCGGGAAACCGGAGCUAAUACCGGAUGAUAUUUUGAACCGCAUGGUUCAAAAGUGAAAGACGGUCUUGCUGUCACUUAGAGAUGGAUCCGCGCUGCAUUAGCUAGUUGGUAAGGUAACGGCUUACCAAGGCAACGAUGCAUAGCCGACCUGAGAGGAUGAUCGGCCACACUGGAACUGAGACACGGUCCAGACUCCUACGGGAGGCAGCAGUAGGGAAUCUUCCGCAAUGGGCGCAAGCCUGACGGAGCCACACCGCGUGAGUGAUGAAGGUCUUCGGAUCGUAAAACUCUGUUAUUAGGGAAGAAAAUAUGUGUAAGUAACUGUGCACAUCUUGACGGUACCUAAUCAGAAAGCCACGGCUAACUACGUG